GAUGAACGCUGGCGGUAUGCUUAACACAUGCAAGUCGAACGGUACCUUCGGGUAUAGUGGCGGACGGGUGAGUAACGCGUGAGAAUCUAUCUUCAGGUCGGGGACAACAGUUAGAAAUGACUGCUAAUACCGGAUGUGCCGAAAGGUAAAAGAUUUAUUGCCUGAAAAAGAGCUCGCGUCAGAUUAGCUAGUAGGUGGUGUAAGAGACUACCUAGGCUUCGAUUUGUAGCUGGUCUGAGAGGACGAUCAGCCACACUGGAACUGAGACACGGUCCAGACUCCUACGGGAGGCAGCAGUGGGGAAUUUUCCGCAAUGGGCGAAAGCCUGACGGAGCAAUACCGCGUGAGGGACGAAGGCUCUUGGGUCGUAAACCUCUUUUCUCAAGGAAGAUUCAGACGGUACUUGAGGAAUAAGCAUCGGCUAACUCUGUG
rnacentral:rRNA from 1 species